CAAUAGCGUAUAUUAAAGUUGUUGCAGUUAAAAAGCUCGUAGUUGGAUUUCUGAUAAAGUGCCAAUGUCCGCUUUGUGCGUGUGCAGCGGCGCUUCAUCAUCCUUCUGUUAACAUCGUUCGGCAUUCAUUUGCUGGCGGUGGGCUCAGAUAUUUUACCUUGAGAAAAUUAGAGUGUUUCAGGCAGGCUAAGCCGGAAUACAUUAGCAUGGAAUAAUAGAAUAGGACUGAGGUCUCUUUGUUGGUUUGAGGGACUACAGUAAUGAUUAAUAGGGGCAGUUGGGGGCAUUAGUAUUUAAUAGUCAGAGGUGGAAUUCUCAGAUUUGUUAAAGACUAACCUAUGCGAAANCANNNGCCAAGGAUGUUUUCAUNAA
rnacentral:rRNA from 1 species